AGCUCCAAUAGCGUAUAUUAAAGUUGUUGCAGUUAAAAAGCUCGUAGUUGGAUCUCGGGAGCAGGCCGGCGGUCCGCCUCCCGGCGGUUACUGCCUGUCCUGCCCUACCUGCCGGUUUUCCCCCGGUGCUCUUCCUUGAGUGCCUCGGGUGGCCGGAACGUUUACUUUGAAAAAAUUAGAGUGUUCAAAGCAGGCAGUUCGCCUGAAUAGUGGUGCAUGGAAUAAUGGAAUAGGACCUCGGUUCUAUUUUGUUGGUUUUCGGAACUUGAGGUAAUGAUUAAGAGGGACAGACGGGGGCAUUCGUAUUACACUGUUAGAGGUGAAAUUCUUGGAUCGGUGUAAGACGAACUACUGCGAAAGCAUUUGCCAAGAAUGUUUUCA
rnacentral:rRNA from 1 species